AUGAGAAGCCGCUGCACAGCAACAACAGACACGGUCUGUGCCCCCUGCCAAGAUGAGUACUUUAAUAGUGAGCACAACCACGGCUUCUGCAAGAGCUGUACCAUCUGUGACACUACGAAGGGGAGCAAGGAAGUGAAGAAGUGUGAGAAGACCUCUGACAGAAUUUGCAUGUGUGCUGCAGGCUACAUGCCAGACGUUGGCCAUCCCCUGCGAAGCGGUAAGUUGGGCGUGUGUCAGACUCUCCAAACUCUUGCCUCCGCUUCAGGUGAGACAGUGGUUGUUAUUUCUUGUGUAAAAACUGUUGUUGUUUGU
rnacentral:lncRNA from 1 species